rnacentral:lncRNA from 1 species
UUUCUGUAGAGCCGGCGUUUUGCCCUGUUGCCCAGGAGUUUUUCCUUUAAUGUUCUCCUGCUACUUACUAAUUCACUUUGUCACCCUGUGAGCUCAUAAGAGCAGAGAGAUAGCAACAGGAGCUAAAAAAACUCUAAGCUGUGAAAAUAUAUUAAUAUGAAAUCAUGACAGCUAUUAGCUUAAUUUGUUUUAGGCAAAUUGCAAAGUAAUUUUUUGGGAAUCAGUGUCCCACUGCAGUGAUUCCACAUGGGGAUUCCUAAUUCCCAGUAUGUUUUUAAAAUAAUUUGUAAACACCUAGUACAAACGCAUGAUAUGAAAUUCAAGAGGUGGGAGGAUCACCUGAGCCCAGGAGGUUGAGACUUGCAGUGAGCUGAGUUCACACCAUACGGGAUUUGGUGUCUGACAGCUCUGGGGACAGAUCCCAGCUCCAAAUGGCAGAGUCUCUACAGAUUACAAGCCAGAUACUUAGCACUAUGUGCUGAUCUUCAGGAAGUCAGUCUAUAUUUCAUAACAAGUCACAUGGGGAUAAUGAGGGAAUGGCCUAAAAUGCUCUCAGUAAUAUUCCUGAGUCAUCCCUCAGGGCUGGGCUUGGUGUUAGGCAUGGCGGGGAAGGGAGCAGAGCUGUGUGCAGAGGAAGAUGCAGUUCUUGCCUUGUCAGGGUCCCUGACCUGAUGGCGACCCAUGGUGGAGUCUUCAUAGUGACAGACACCAGUGUAAAAUCAGAUCCAGGUUGUGCAACCCUCAAAGCAGGUCUCCUCACUCACCGGGAUAGAUAGACUAUCGGCCGUACCUGCAUCCACCGCUUGCCAUGGUUUCGUUGUGGGUGGAGGAUACUUUCCUGCCCCCUGGCUUUGGGUUUGCCCACGUGGCUUGCUCUGACCUUGGAAUGAAGCAGAAACGAAAGGCUGCCAGUUCCAAGCCCACGUCUGAAGUCGCCUUAGGUGGUUCCGCGGGCCCCGUGCGCUCCCACCUUCACCCAGAGGGCCUUCUCUGGUGCAGCCACUGCUUCUUCAGCCUCCGCCCAAAAGGAACGGAGCCCCCUGGCCGAUCCACAGGCCUACAGGGAGCCACAGAGCGCAGCGGCUGGACCAGCGUUCAGGCCCAAGCACAGGCCUGCGAGAACCUUGUUCCAGCCGCCGUUUAGGAUGGUUGAUUAGGACGCGUUGCAGUGGCGGUAGCUCACCAAUCCAGUGCGUGCACCUGCUCCUUUAUUAGGCUAAAGAACCAGUGGCUCCCACAGGGACCUGAUACAACAGUGCGUUAAAUAAGGAGCUUAUUGAGCUCUCAUGUCUUAAGCCAGUGGAGAAGUCCAGGGCUAGUGUGGGGGCUCUGGCGGGGGCUGUGGCCCCCAUCCGCAUGGAGCCUCCCCAUGGUUCACAGGUCUCAGUCUUCGGAGCCUUCGGCCCUGCGAGCCCGAACGGUCCACAGGGCGGCGCCAGACCCUCUUUCGAACGCCAUCCUCUAAAGCCUCGGCUCCAACCGGUUCCACUUCUUCAGGCUCAGGAUUUUCACUCUUCUCGAAUGGGGGUGGCCCUCCCCCAAUCUUCUGAGUCGCAACAGCAUCUCCCUCCCUCCAGGACCUCAGAGCCAGAGCUGGGCGAGAGGCCCUGACCUCCGGGGUAGGGUGGAAGCGUCCCUGUGAAGGUGCGGCCCUGCCUCCCAUCCCCAGGCGCCGGGCCUCUCCCACCCUCAGCGCCCUGCUCACCGCCAGCUGAAGAUGCCAGGGCACCUCUGCUUCCUCCCUGCCCUCUCUGCAGUACCGCCGAGUGUGCAUAAAAGGGUUUAAUGUAGGCUUUGCCGGGUGCGGGGACUCCCACCUGUAAUCCCAGUACCUUGAGAGACCAAGGCGGGAGGAUCACUUGAGGCCAGGAGUUCAAAACCAGCCUGGGCAACAAAUUGAGGCCCGUCUCUGAAAAAAAAUAAAAAUAAAAUAAAAAAUAAA